GGUUACAUUUGACCAGAAUGUAUGCGAUGUGCUGCAUAAUUGAUUUGAAGGAAAAGGUUACACUAUUUAUUACAGACAGCAAGGAAACAUCAUUGAACACCACCAACUAAUAAGACUCCAAAGGAAUAAUGGAAAAUAAGAUAUUUAAAGCUGUCAAAAAGCAGAGAUUAGAGUUCAGUGGAUUCCAUGACGAUA